UUCUCCUGGGAAACGGGUGGUAAUGCCGGAUGCUCCGACUCCUCGCAUGGGGUGUCGGGAAAGAUUCAUCGGUAUGGGAUGGGGUCGCGUCCUAUCAGGUAGUCGGCGGGGUAACGGCCCACCGAGCCUACGACGGGUAGCCGGCCUGAGAGGGCGACCGGCCACAUUGGGACUGAGAUACGGCCCAGACUCCUACGGGAGGCAGCAGUGGGGAAUAUUGCACAAUGGGCGCAAGCCUGAUGCAGCGACGCCGCGUGCGGGAUGACGGCCUUCGGGUUGUAAACCGCUUUUGAUCGGGAGCAAGCCUUCGGGUGAGUGUACCUUUCGAAUAAGCACCGGCUAACUACGUGCCAGCAGCCGCGGUAAUACGUAGGGUGCAAGCGUUAUCCGGAAUUAUUGGGCGUAAAGGGCUCGUAGGCGGUUCGUCGCGUCCGGUGUGAAAGUCCAUCGCUUAACGGUGGAUCUGCGCCGGGUACGGGCGGGCUGGAGUGCGGUAGGGGAGACUGGAAUUCCCGGUGUAACGGUGGAAUGUGUAGAUAUCGAAAAAGAACACC
rnacentral:rRNA from 1 species